rnacentral:rRNA from 1 species
UCCCAGACUCCUACGGGAGGCAGCAGUGGGGGAUAUUGCACAAUGGGGGGAACCCUGAUGCAGCGACGCCGCGUGGGUGAAGGAGCGUUUCGGCGCGUAAAGCUCUAUCAGCAGGGAAGAAGAAGGACGGUACCUGAGUAAGAAGCCCCGGCUAACUACGUGCCAGCAGCCGCGGUAAUACGUAGGGGGCAAGCGUUAUCCGGAUUUACUGGGUGUAAAGGGAGCGUAGACGGCGAAGAAAGUCUGAAGUGAAAGCCCGCGGCUCAACCGCGGAAUGGCUUUGGAAACUUUUUUGCUGGAGUACCGGAGAGGUAAGCGGAAUUCCUAGUGUAGCGGUGAAAUGCGUAGAUAUUAGGAGGAACACCGGUGGCGAAGGCGGCCUGCUGGACUGCAACUGACGUUGAGGCCCGAAAGCGUGGGGAGCAAACAGGAUUAGAUACCCUCGUAA